GAGUGAGGGAAGGGGUGACUAGUGGCAGAGUGAGGGAAGGAAGGGGUGACUAGUGACAAAGUGAGGGAGGUGGUGACUGUCACUAGUCACCACCUCCCUCACUCUGUCACUAGUCACCACCUCCCUCUGUCACUACUCCCUCCUUCUGUCACUAGUCACCCCCUCCCUCACUCUGUCACCUGUCACCCCCUCACUCUGUCACUAGUCACCCCCUUACUCUGUC